GACGAACGCUGGCGGCGUGCUUAACACAUGCAAGUCGAACGGAAAGGCCCUGCUUUUGUGGGGUGCUCGAGUGCCGAACGGGUGAGUAACACGUGAGUAACCUGCCCUUGACUUUGGGAUAACUUCAGGAAACUGGGGCUAAUACCGGAUAGGAGCUCCUGCUGCAUGGUGGGGGUUGGAAAGUUUCGGCGGUUGGGGAUGGACUCGCGGCUUAUCAGCUGGUUGGUGGGGUAGUGGCUUACCAAGGCUUUGACGGGUAGCCGGCCUGAGAGGGUGACCGGCGGCAUGAGAGGGGGGACGCGGACCAUGCGCCUACGAGAGGCAGCAGUCGGGAACGGGAGGCAGCAGGCGAAAGCAUGACACAGCGGGGGGAAGUGUGUGACAACAACGUUGCGUGCGGGAUGACGGCCUUCGAGUUGAGAACCGCUGUCGCCGGUGACGAAGAGGGAGUGACGGUAAUGGAUAAAGAAGCACCGGCUAACUACGUG
rnacentral:rRNA from 1 species